rnacentral:tRNA from 1 species
GGAGACGUGGCCGAGUGGCUGAAGGCAACGGUUUGCUAAAUCGUCGUACCGGGUAACCGGUACCGAGGGUUCGAAUCCCUCCGUCUCCG